UCAUUACUUAAAGAGUCGAUGAAUUGAUAAUCUUUAUAAUAUGAAUACUUAAUAAGCAUACCGAAACUAAAUAAGGGAAUACCUGAUCAAAAAAACGUGUAAAAUUUUGUUGUUUGGUGACAGUGAAGUGAAUGCACGGGUGAUUGUUUUAAAGUAUAUGAGAACGGAACUUAGUUUGCAGGUUCAUGAAGUUAUCUCGCUGGGCUGGCUGAAUACAAAAGACUGUUCCGAACAACUGACAUUGACAGCCCUGUAGACAGCGCGCGUAUUCCGCGUGCCAUUCCCGCCACAACUUCGCAGCCAUGUUGGAUUUGCGCGCCAUUUCACACCUCUCCUAAGAAAAAAUAUUGUAUACGUCUACGACGAUUCUUCUCAAUGGUACAUCAAGUUUAGUGAAACUGGAACUUCAUGGACUGGACUGCAAUAAUUAUAAGAAGCAGUUUGGAAUGCUCUGGAUUUUUAUGGUCAUCACCGUAUGCAACGAAAUAGUGAUGAAAAAUAAUUUAGUGCAUAGAUUCGUGGCAAGAAAGAUAUCAGGAGAGCAGAAACUCAAAGUAAGCAUCGCUUCGCUUC